UGGGGAAUAUUGCACAAUGGACGGAAGUUUGAUGCAGCGACGCCGCGUGGAGGGUGUAGGCCUUCGGGUUGUGAACUCCUUUUUCUCGCGAAAAAGGCACAGUUUUGGCUGUGUUGAUGGUAGUGGGGGAAGAAGCGCCGGCUAACUACGUGCCAGCAGCCGCGGUAAUACGUAGGGCGCGAGCGUUGUCCGGAUUUAUUGGGCGUAAAGGGUUCGCAGGCGGCAUGGCAAGUCCGAUGUAAAAGGCGAAGGCUCAACCUUCGUAAGCAUCGGAAACUGUCAAGCUUGAGUGAAGGAGAGGCAAGUGGAAUUCCUAGUGUAGCGGUGGAAUGCGUAGAUAUUAGGAGGAAUACCGGUGGCGAAGGCGACUUGCUGGACUUCAACUGACGCUGAGGAACGAAAGCGUGGGUAGCAAACAG
rnacentral:rRNA from 1 species